AGAGGCUGCGUGGAGAGAGGGCAACCAGCAACUUGGUGCCACCCUAGAGAGCGCUGCCCGGGCCGCCUUCCUUCCUGCCCGCAGCCCUGGGAGGUACGUACUACUGGCCCCCUUUCAACGGCUGGGAAAACUGAGACCCAGAAAGGGGAAGGGACUUGCUCAGAGUCAUACUGUGAAUGUGGACGAGGACCAGCUCUCAACUCCAAGGUGCAGCCACCCACGUCUUAACCAGAGCAGGAAGGCGUCAGUAACCUCGGUGGCCCAACCUCAGAACCUGACUCUGCUGUCAAGGGGGAAGAUAAUCCCAAACCCCGACAAGUAGCUGGAGAAUCAUAACUGACCUCCAACCAAGUGUGACUUUGGGCAAAGCGCUAACACUCUGAGCCUCAGUUUCAACGUCUAUUAAAUGGGGAUAAUUGUAGUUCCGCCUUUUAGGGAAUCCCUGAGAGGAUGAACCUCAGAAGGCAUUUAGCAGAAAGCCUGGCUGAUUUUGCCAUGCCUCCUUAUUAAAUGGGAUGCGCUAUAAUGGAUGGGGAAAA
rnacentral:lncRNA from 1 species